GACGAACGCUGGCGGCGUGCUUAACACAUGCAAGUCGAACGGACAGGCCCUGCUCUUGUGGGGUGGUCGAUUGGCGAAGGGGUGAGUAAAACGUGAGUAACCUGCCCUUGACUUAGUGAUAACUUCUGGAAAAACGGGCUCAUAUCGGAUAGGAGCUCCUGAUGCAUGGUGGGGGUUGGAAAGUUUCGGCGGUUGGGGAUGGACUCGCGGCUUAGCAGCUUGAUGGUGGGGUAGUGGCUUACCAAGGCUUUGACGGGUAGCCGGCCUGAGAGGGUGACCGGCCACAUUGGGACUGAGAUACGGCCCAGACUCCUACGGGAGGCAGCAGUGGGGAAUAUUGCACAAUGGGCGGAAGCCUGAUGCAGCAACGCCGCGUGCGGGAUGACGGCCUUCGGGUUGUAAACCGCUUUCGCCUGUGACGAAGCGUGAGUGACGGUAAUGGGUAAAGAAGCACCGGCUAACUACGUG
rnacentral:rRNA from 1 species